CAGCAGCCGCGGUAAUACAGAGGGUGCGAGCGUUAAUCGGAUUUACUGGGCGUAAAGCGUGCGUAGGCGGCUUUUUAAGUCGGAUGUGAAAUCCCUGAGCUUAACUUAGGAAUUGCAUUCGAUACUGGGAAGCUAGAGUAUGGGAGAGGAUGGUAGAAUUCCAGGUGUAGCGGUGAAAUGCGUAGAGAUGUGGAGGAAUACCGAUGGCGAAGGCAGCCCCCUGGGCCAAUACUGACGCUCAUGCACGAAAGCGUGGGGAGCAAACAGGAUUAGAUACCCCCGUAGUCCCUGUCUCUUAUAC
rnacentral:rRNA from 1 species